UACAGAGGGUGCAAGCGUUGUUCGGAAUUAUUGGGCGUAAAGCGCGUGUAGGCGGCUUUGCAAGUCUUGUGUGAAAUCCCUCGGCUUAACCGAGGAAGUGCGCAAGAAACUGCAGAGCUUGAGUACCGGAGAGGAUGGUGGAAUUCCCCAAGUAGAGGUGAAAUUCGUAGAUAUGGGGAGGAACACCGGUGGCGAAGGCGACCAUCUGGACGGAUACUGACGCUGAGACGCGAAAGCGUGGGGAGCAAACGGG
rnacentral:rRNA from 1 species